AGCAGCCGCGGUAAUUCCAGCUCCAAUAGCGUAUAUUAAAGUUGUUGCAGUUAAAAAGCUCGUAGUUGAAUUUCGGGACUAGUACGCUGGUCAUGCCUUUGGUAUGUACUGGUGUUACUGGUUCCUACCUUCUGACGAACCGUCAUGUCAUUCAUUUGGUGUGGCGGGGAAUCAGGACUGUUACUUUGAAAAAAUUAGAGUGUUUAAAGCAGGCUCGCGCUUGAAUACAUUAGCAUGGAAUAAUGAAAUAGGACGUUUGAUCCUAUUUUGUUGGUUUCUAGGAUUGACGUAAUGAUUAAUAGGGAUAGUUGGGGGCAUUAGUAUUCAAUUGUCAGAGGUGAAAUUCUUGGAUUUAUUGAAGACUAACUACUGCGAAAGCAUUUGCCAAGGAUGUUUUCAUUAAUCAAGAACGAAAGUUAGGGGAUCGAAGACGAUCAGAUACCGUCGUAGUCUUAACCAUAAACUAUGCCGACUAGGGAUCGGAUGAUGUUAUUUUUAAUGACUCAUUCGGCGCCUUAAC
rnacentral:rRNA from 1 species